GACAGAAGUAUAUUUUCUUUUAUAUACAAAAACAAAGGCCCCAGGUAUGAUUUGCUGAAGUAGCCAUCCACAAGAUGUUAAAUACUUUUCCUUUGCUUUGGUUAAAACAGUCUAGGAACAGCAAUCGGUUCCCCUUCUAUGAAGAGCAUAUAAAUACAGCGACACAACUGCUUUUAGGAGAAAAUAAACAACAUUUAAGAAAAGAAAUUAAAUUAGUUUUAAACUAAACAUUUACCAAUAAAUAAGAUUCUUAAAAAGGUAACAUCUUCAUCCUACAAUCAUGGGCAUAACAUAUACACCAGUUUAAAAAAUAAACUUUCUCUCACAAUAAUAAUUACAGGUGUUAAUGCAACAAGCUAGGAAAUGAAAUUACUUUAAUGUAUCUUAAGAAAAAAAAACCCUAGCAACCAAAAAUAAAUUUUAAAAAUCAACAUUUUUUGAAAAUGGUACAUUCUAAAAGAACUAAUUUUUUAUUACAGAACAUAAUUCAAACUAUUGUUGGUAUUUCAAUGUAUUCCUAAAGAAAUACAUUCUUUAGGAAUUCGUACACCAGAAUUGGAACAGCACUUAUAAUUCAGUUUACGGCUAUGAAAAGGCAAUCAUCUUCCACUUAAAACUUUAAUCAGUGAUGAAAUAUACUUCAAGAACAUAAACAUUUGGUCUGACAAUCUUUAAUAUUGGUUAAAAACAGACUGAUGUUUGUUGCUGAUGGAGAUAUCGUUAAUCCCAUGUGCAAAAAAAGUGCAGCUGUCUAUUUGUACUUGAGAUACAUAAGACCAACGCUUCUGUACUAUUUACACAGGUAAAAGAUUUUAAACAUAAUGAUUUCAGGAAGGACACUGCAUCUUCUUUAUGGAUAAUCACGUGAUGCCGAGAGCCCAAAAGCUUGAUGACACUCUUUAAGUUACACAAACGUACCCGAAGAGGUAUACCUGUUCUUGGCCUAAUUUUGAUCCUAAACAAAAAUCCAAUUUCAAAAUCAGGAAUUAUUUUGAUCUAGGAAAUCUUGGACUUGUUGCAAAUAUGCAAACCUUGUCUCUGAGAGCCAGGUUCCUACACUUCCUUUUCUAACCCUCUCAGCACUGGUCAGCCCAUAAACCCCAUCAGCUGCAGAGUAGCAAUACCCCAAACAAGAGUGAAAAAACUCAGCCCUCAAACGACUGACAUGCCUUCAGGUCAUGUGACAUCUUUAGGGGCACGUGCGGGCAAUCAAAAAGGAUGAAGAAACACUUCAGCAAAGCAACCAUUAUUUGUCCACAAAAACCAUGAAAAACAGUGAUAGAAAAUUAACAAACCAAAUAUAUAAAUCUGACACCAUUUUGCAUUUCCGGAACUUGUUUUCCUAUCUGUGCACGCAGGGUUCUUGGUCAACCACCCACCCGUAUUUCCUGCGUCUACACGAGUACUUUUACUAAAGUUCUUAAAAAUGUCGCUGUGACCUGUAAGUCACACAGAACGGUGAUGGUCAGGAAAUCAGUCCACUCAAUUAUCACUCUGUGCGGUGCUCUUCCUGGUGCAGCAGGCGGAGAGGGGAACUUUUAAAAAGGGACAGAAGUCUCUCACUUCUGAACUGGGCCCAGGAGUUCUCAAAUUAAAAUCAGAAAUCAUAAAAAAAAAGGUUCAUGGCUCGGGAUGCGGGAUGCGGAUAAAGGAUGCUGAGCAUCCCUGGCGCGCGUGCGCAUCCCGGUCCCC
rnacentral:lncRNA from 1 species